rnacentral:rRNA from 1 species
UAGGGAAUCUUCGGCAAUGGACGAAAGUCUGAUGGAGCAACACCGCGUGAGUGAAGAAGGGUUUCGGCUCGUAAAGCUCUGUUGUUAAAGAAGAACACGUAUGAGAGUAACUGUUCAUACGUUGACGGUAUUUAACCAGAAAGUCACGGCUAACUACGUGCCAG